AUAGAUACUGUAAAUCCAAAUGC
rnacentral:piRNA from 1 species